rnacentral:rRNA from 1 species
AUUGAACGCUGGCGGCAUGCCUUACACAUGCAAGUCGAACGGCAGCACGGGAGCAAUCCUGGUGGCGAGUGGCGAACGGGUGAGUAAUAUAUCGGAACGUGCCCAGUAGUGGGGGAUAACUGCUCGAAAGAGCAGCUAAUACCGCAUACGACCUGAGGGUGAAAGGGGGGGAUCGCAAGACCUCUCGCUAUUGGAGCGGCCGAUAUCAGAUUAGCUAGUUGGUGGGGUAAAGGCCUACCAAGGCAACGAUCUGUAGUUGGUCUGAGGGGACGACCAGCCACACUGGGACUGAGACACGGCCCAGACUCCUACGGGAGGCAGCAGUGGGGAAUGUUGGACAAUGGGCGCAAGCCUGAUCCAGCAAUGCCGCGUGCAGGAAGAAGGCCUUCGGGUUGUAAACUGCUAUUGUCAGGGAAGAAAUCCUCUAGGUUAAUACCUCGGGGUAAUGACGGUACCUGAAGAAUAAGCACCGGCUAACUACGUGCCAGCAGCCGCGGUAAUAC